rnacentral:rRNA from 1 species
CCCCGGCAGCCCGACUGAUGGCCGAUAUUAUUGGGCCUAAAGCGUCCGUAGCUGGCCGCGCAAGUCCGUCGGGAAAUCCACUCGCUUAACGAGUGGGCGUCCGGCGGAAACUGUGCGGCUUGGGACCGGAAGAUCCAAGGGGUACGUCCGGGGUAGGAGUGAAAUCCCGUAAUCCUGGACGGACCACCGAUGGCGAAAGCACCUUGGAAGGACGGAUCCGACAGUGAGGGACGAAAGCUAGGGUCUAGAACCGG